rnacentral:lncRNA from 1 species
GUAAAGCGAUUUUUUUUUAUUUCUGUAACGAAAAUUUGUUUGUCUUUCUAGUAGUAAUAGUAGUAUCCAGUAUAAGAAAUUCGAGGAAUUUCAUGCAAUUAAAGUUAUUGGGAAGUAGAAAUUAUUCCAGUGUAGAUGUAAAGGUGAUAAAUGAGAUGUUAAAAUGUGGAGUUAAUGAUGUUCUUGCAUGGAUGACCGAUUCAAAAGUAAGCAUGAAUGUGCGUACCGGAUGAUUUCUGAGACGCUGUGUUGUGUGGAAGUAAAUCUGCACAGGGAAAGAAUGGAUAAUAAAAGUUUGAAUGAAUCCAAAAAAUUGUUCGGGUGUUUAAUUUUUCUUUUUUUAAAAUUUUACUCUCCACGGAAUUGCUCAGAUGAGAAUUUCAAAAAAAAAAAAAUUGUUUUUAUUGGUAACUGUAUGUGCGAACGCGUAAAAAAAUGUUAAAAUUACUUUCCGAAAAUAUUACGGAAUUUUAGAAAUCAUUACAGAAAAGUAGUUUAAGAAAGAACUGUCGUCAAACUCACUGAACUGGAAUUUUAUAACAAUAGUGAGAUUAAUACAAAUUGUUCUUGUACAAUAAUAAUAUGCAGUCUGCAGACAUUCCCAUAUGACAUAUCACUUAUGUCAGAAUGGAAUGCCGAGAGAUUGAUAGCCCCGCACGAUUUAUUCUCUAUCAUUAUAUACUCUACUGUGUGGAAAUCUUUUGUCUUUUUCUAACCAUAGUAUUUGUUGUAUGUUGUAACAAACUUCACUUUUUUCCGUGAUUGUCAAGUUAAAGUUAAAUACAUACACCAAAAACGAUAAUUUUGAAGAACACCACAGAUAUUUUCCAAACUGAUAAUGAAAAAAAAUGUCGUCCAUGGAUAAUCGCCAUCAGUGCGAAGUAUAGCGUGUGUAUAAAUAUAUUAUUUAAUGUAAAAUAUCCGUUAUUUAUCAAAUUUGAACCGAGAAUAAACUUCAAGGAAAGUACGAAAAUUGAAAAAGUGAGGUUCAGGUACAGAAUAAAAGUUUGCUAAACCGAAGAUGUUAUAAAUCAAAUUUUUUGUACUUUCUAAAAGUUUUUCGAAACGAAAGAGAAGGCGAAGAAGAAAAGUGAAAUAUGGUUAUUGGGAAGAAAGAAGAUUAAAAUUUAUUUAUUUAUUUUUUCUGUUUACGAAAUUAUUAUUAUUGCUUAAAAUGUAAUUACUUACGAUAGUUCCGAUUUCCGAACUGAUCGACAAAUCGAACGCGCGUUAUCGAUCCUACAUCGAUCGCUAAAUGAUUGAUUCAUCGUUGAUCUAAAUAUUUCGAAUUAUCUCGUGCCGAAAAGAGUUAAAAGACCCCAUUUAGAAUAAUUAUUAUCUAUUAUUGUAGAAAUCCGAUUUAGUAAUAGCAUCCAAGGUUUUAAAAAAGUUGAAUUUUUUGUAGUUAGAUGUAAGGAGGC